GAGUUUAAAACAAAAUGAUAACUAAAAAAUUUUGCUAGAAGGAAAAAAAUGCCAAAUUCUUUAUUUUUUGAAAAUUACUAUAUAUUGCGAACAAACGGCAAGCGAAUUUUUCACGAGUGUUGUGGCUUUCCAUUAACUUCCAUGCAUGUAUUCCACUGAAGAGAGAAUUUUGAUUGGCCAAUCCUUGUUUGUGAAGCAUUCGCGAUUAAUUCUU
rnacentral:lncRNA from 1 species